rnacentral:lncRNA from 12 species
CAUGUAUUUGAGGAUGAUAAGAAACGUCUCAACCAUUGAGUAUUUCAGGUUUGGUAUCUUCAUAUAAACAGAUAUUCAGAGAAGUUUCUUCACACUGAAACUUAAUGAAGGAUCCAAGUGCCCAGAUGAGAAGAAUGUAUAGGGAAACCAUCCUUGAAAAAAGGGAGCUCCCAAAUCACAAAAUUUUAAGAGCUCACAUGGUCCCAUGACAGAACUUUUGUGACUUUCUGAAGACCUCACAAUUUCAGACUGUUUUCAACACAAUUGGUAAGUGAUUCGAAUUGAUUUUCCCAAGGAAUGUGGACAUAUGUGGCAUCCUUGACAACUCCCUGAAACGUCUAUAAAAACUGCCUGAGUUAAGAUUCAUUC